rnacentral:misc_RNA from 1 species
CAAAUUCCUUUUCAACAUUUGUUGUAUAACAUGUCCCAGAAUAUAUGGAUCCAUUUUUCAGGUGAACUUCCACAGGGUGCCCGAUAAGACAUGUUGACAAAUAUACCAGCCGAUCACGAGAAGGACUCUCAUAAAUUCCAACUUUGGUACCAACCAUUGAUUUUCCAGAUUGCAGCUUAUUCUCCAAUCUUGCCCCGCCUUCCCUUUCAGCUCUUCGACGACCAAAUCCAUUAGCAUAAGCUUUGGGCUGUGCAGCCUGUUGCAAACUCAUCUUGACAACA